rnacentral:misc_RNA from 1 species
GCAAACUUGGUCAUUUAGAGGAAGUACAAGUCGUAACAAGGUUUCCGUAGGUGAACCUGCGGAAGGAUCAUUACAAAUCCAUCACGUCUCUCUCCCGAGACCACGUUGAAAUGUUGUACCAAGUGCGGGUGCAUGUGGCAGUGCGCGGCGGCGGCAGGCCUUCCUCCCCCCCCUCCCCUCCGGGUGGUGGUGGUGGUCGGUCGGUCGGCCUUGUCGUCGUCGUCGUCUCACUGCCCAUGUCGUCCCGUACGGCACAAACGAGUUGAUAUUGUUGUCCAAGUGUAUUGUGUUUUCGAACCUCAGUACAACUUAUAACAAUGGAUCUCUAGGCUCUUGCAUCGAUGAAGAACGCAGC